CAGGAACAACAUCUACAGAUAGUGUGUGUGCUGACUGUACUGGUGAAACCUAUUCAGAUGGAUCAUUUACAUCCUGCCAGACACACACCGAGUGAGUUCACAUAUGUUUACAUACAUCAAAAGUGUGUAAAUCCUUAGGUCUUCAAGAACUUAGACCAGGAACUAAUUUGUCCAAUUCUGAAUGUGGACCACAAUCCUCAAGAAUACAAAGUGGUAUCAUCAUUGGUGUUGUUGUGGCAUCAGUCCUAAUAGCUCCUGUAAUAAUAAUAAUAAGAAUUAUAAUUCUAAGGAUGAUAAAAAGUCCAACAACAGUGACUUUUUCUCCAGUGACAGUAAAUGCUGUAGAGGCAUCAUCAGAUUUAGAGGAAACACCAAGCAAUGUAGUACAAUGAAACAGAAGAAAGUACAGCAUCUUGCAGGUGCUGGUUUUGUAAAUGAUUCAAGCUCUGACCACACUCAUCAUUACAAAUGCUACCUGAGGUACGUCCAGAGUCUGUACACUGUGGUAAAUGUGAUCAACAUUCAAAUGUUUCUUGAAGUUGGUUUCUGGCAUAUUACUGUUGCUAAGUAGGAUUUUAUGAGGGUUGCCAAAGUGGAGUAAAACACUGUAUUUGUCAGUAAAACACUGUAUUUGUCAGUGUUUUAAGUGCACUAGUAUCUAAAAGUAUUUAGCAUAAUUGGGGACACAUAUGGCGCGGGAAGAAGUCAAAGGAUCCAAUUCAGACUAUUUUUUGUGAAAUCCAGAUUAAAUAAAGGGCUUUAUGUAUCAAAUCUGUAGGCGAUAGUGGGCUAAAUCAAUGAGAAAUAUAGCUGAAAUGUGCAGGCUUUGUCAUGACCUCUGUUUUCGGUUCCGUUUAGGCUAUGGUUAUGUAUAAGAUCGCAGCUGCACUGAAAUGAAUAGCCUGAUUCAAUGUGAUUCUCCUGAAUAAAAAUCUGUUAAACUGUUUGGUCUAUGAAUACCGCUUCUAUACCGCUUCUAUAUUUUGUCUUUUUCUAUAGGCAUAGACUGAACCCACAUGUGGUGCCUGUACGAUACACUGAAUCCACAUGUGGUGCCUGCACGAUACACUGAACCCACACGUGGUGCCUGUACGAUACACUGAACCCACAUGUGGUGCCUGUACGAUACACUGAACCCACACGUGGUGCCUGUACGAUACACUGAACCCACAUGUGGUGCCUGUACGAUACACUGAACCCACAUGUGGUGCCUGUACGAUACACUGAACCCACACGUGGCGCCUGCACGAUACACUGAACCCACACAUGGCCCCUGUACGAUACAACAUUAGAAUAAAAGUUGUACUAAUCAUUAAGGUGGUUCUCAGCAUGACCUUCAACUGCACAAUAUGCAUGAAUUCAAAAACGUUCCGCUGAGUUGGCCCUAGAAAAUGUAGCCUAGAUAGUAUCACUUCUUUUUUUCCCCUUGUGAAACCGGUUCUACUACCAGCAAGUAAAUACACUUCUAUCCACAGUUCUGUGGGAAACACAUUCACCCAAAAGUACCUUUUUACUGAAUUACUGUAGACAUAUAAUUUACAGUUGACUGUAUUUUAACAUCCCCCACAAACCACAUAGUCAUAACAUACGACUAGAUGCAAAUCAUCGAACUGAACAAAUAAAAGAGCAACAGACUUUUAAAUCGUCCCUAACAUUCCCUGUAUACAACUAUACAUGUUGGUUUCACUCUGAGCUCUAGGCCGUUUCCUUCCUCAUUACUCCCCCCCCUUCCUGUUUUCUAUCUCUACAAUCAAUGGAUAAAUGUAUCUUCAAUUCAAUUAAUCUAACAACAAUACAACUAUUCACAGUUUAGCAGAAUUAUUAUGCUGAAUUUGUCAGACUACUCAGACAGAUAGUAAACAGAAUGUAAAUCUAAGCCUGCAAGCAUUGGGUACUUUCCACUCUGCCUAACACCUUUCAGAAAUAAAAUUGCAGGGACUUUCCUAGUCAUAUAACAAACUAGAUGGGUGAAAAGAAAUACCAUAAUGCUUUCACCUGUCUCCUGUUCAGAUCAGUGACAAUGAAAGAAAGCAGAUAGAGGAAGCCACUGUAGACUAUUGAGAUGUACCUCUACAGUACUCUGUGGCUGCCUUGUAAUCAGUCCUGUGUUUCUCUCCCUCAGGAAUGGCAGACUAAGGAGCUCCUCUCACGUAUGACUCCACUGUCUGAUGAAGAAACAGAGCCGCUUGAUGACAUUGGAGCUUCCUCAAGAGGUCAAAGGGCAGACUAACCUCUCAGGCAGUAACAUCCCAGUCUGCUUCAGUGGCCCAGAAAUCAGGAACAAACACAGACUCAGAGAUGGAUAGCCUUCCUCUCCUCUGAGGACCCAGCGAGGGUGGAGCACAGUUUGAGAGCUGUUGAGUGAGAACAAUUCUACAGCCAGAGAGUCAAGAAAUGGAACAGCAAGGCCACAGAACAUGACAUACGCAGAGCUGUGAGAGACCACCUUAUUAAGCAUUUCCCUGGUAGAGCCAGGGGAUGGUGUUUACCACGCCACCACCAAACGCCUUAAACAGGCUUGAAAAGUGGGAUUGAUCUGUUUGAUCCAUUUUAUUUCUUUCAGUUUUCAUUAGUUGAAUCCUUUGACUUAUUGUUGACUUUAAAAAAAACUUUUUUAACAAAAAUGCACUGGAUUGGUUCAAAGGUGAUACUAAACUUACAUAAUUUUGAAACAGAGGAAGAUAUACUGAAUUCAUACAGUUUUUGAUUCUAAGAUGGACCAAAAUAUAUGUUACUUUUGCACAUUUUUGUUCAUUAGUUUUGCAAGAAUGUUGAUUGGUCGGUCAUUGGGUUCAUUAGUUUUGCAAUAUGUUGAUGCCAUUGAUUAAAAGAGUAAGAAUAUGACGCAAUAUCCAAAGCUUGUUUUACUCCAUUAUUUGCAAACAAUAUAAUUGUAAAAAAAAUUGUCAGUUGGUUGCAUAAAUAAUGACGAUUACUAAAUGUUACAUGAAAUAUCAAAACCGAAUUGAAACGCCUUUGUUAAAAUGUAAAUGGCAAAAAUUCACUUAAUGGUAAGGCAUGGAAUAAUAAAUGUAUCCUUUUUCAUGUUGGAUGUUUGAAAUAUGAGCAGGUGAUGAUUUGAGUCAUUCUUCUUCAUUAGUGGAAUAAAGACAAUUAGAACAAAUGUUGUACACAAAUACUGUGUGUAAAUACUGGAUUGAUGUAUGAUUGUUAAUAAAAUGUCCAUAGACCAA